GGUUAAGUUAACAAGGGCGCAUGGUGAAUGCCUUGGCACUAGGAGCCGAUGAAGGACGGGACUAACACCGAUAUGCUUCGGGGAGCUGUACGUAAGCUAUGAUCCGGAGAUUUCCGAAUGGGGCAACCCAGCAGUUUUAAUCAACUGUUACCACUAGAUGAAUUCAUAGUCUAGUUGGAGGUAAACGCUGUGAACUGAAACAUCUCAUUAGCAGCAGGAAUAUAAAGAAAUUUCGAUUCCCUAAGUAGCGGCGAGCGAACGGGGAACAGCCCAAACCAAAGUGCUUGCACUUUGGGGUUGUAGGACUGAACAUUUGAGUUACCAAAGAACUUGAUAGUCGAAGGAUUUGGGAAAAUCCGCCAUAGAUGGUGAUAGCCCAGUAGAUUAAAUCAAAUUCUCUCAGUUCAGGAUCCUGAGUACGGCGGAACACGUGAAAUUCCGUCGGAAUCCGGGAGGACCAUCUCCCAAGGCUAAAUACUACCUAGUGACCGAUAGUGAACCAGUACCGUGAGGGAAAGGUGAAAAGCACCCCGGGAGGGGAGUGAAAUAGUUCCUGAAACCAUGUGCCUACAAUAAGUCAGAGCGCGUUAAUGCGUGAUGGCGUGCCUUUUGUAGAAUGAACCGGCGAGUUAUGAUCCCGUGCAAGGUUAAGACUAAAAAGUCGGAGCCGUAGCGAAAGCGAGUCUGAAAUGGGCGUUUUGAGUACGAGGUUAUAGACCCGAAACCAGGUGACCUAUCCAUGUCCAGGUUGAAGGUGCGGUAAAACGCACUGGAGGACCGAACCCGUGUAAGUUGAAAAUUGCUGGGAUGAGGUGUGGAUAGCGGUGAAAUUCCAAACGAACUUGGAGAUAGCUGGUUCUCUCCGAAAUAGCUUUAGGGCUAGCCUCGGAAUUAGGAUCAUGGAGGUAGAGCACUAUUUGGACUAGGGGCCCGUCUUGGGUUACUGAAUUCAGAUAAACUCCGAAUGCCAUUGAUUCAUAUCCGGGAGUCAGACGAUGAGUGAUAAGAUCCACCGUCGAAAGGGGAACAGCCCAGACCAUCAGUUAAGGUCCCUAAAUGUAUGCUAAGUGGAAAAGGAUGUGGAGUUGCAUAGACAACUAGGAUGUUGGCUCAGAAGCAGCCACCAUUUAAAGAGUGCGUAAUAGCUCACUAGUCGAGUGAUCCUGCGCCGAAAAUGUACCGGGGCUAAGCAUACUACCGAAACCAUGGAUGCGACCAUUAGGUCGCGUGAUAGGAGAGCGUUCUAAGGGCGGUGAAGCAAGAUCGUGAGGACUUGUGGAGCGCUUAGAAGUGAGAAUGCCGGUAUGAGUAGCGAAAGAUAGGUGAGAAUCCUAUCCACCGAAUGACUAAGGUUUCCUGGGGAAGGCUCGUCCUCCCAGGGUUAGUCGGGACCUAAGUCGAGGCCGAGAGGCGUAGACGAUGGAUAACAGGUUGAGAUUCCUGUACUAGUUAAGUGCGUUUGAGCAAUGGAGGGACGCAGGAGGCUAAGAUGUGCAUUCUGUUGGAUUAGAAUGUCCAAGCAGUAAGUCUUGUGAAGAGUCAAAUGCUUUUCACUUUAAGGACAAGCUGUGAUGGGGAGCGAAAUUUAGUAGCGAAGCGUCUGAUGUCACACUGCCGAGAAAAGCUUCUAGUGAGUACUUAACUACCCGUACCGCAAACCGACACAGGUAGUCGAGGAGAGAAUCCUAAGGUGAGCGAGUGAACUCUCGUUAAGGAACUCGGCAAAAUGACCCCGUAACUUCGGGAGAAGGGGUGCUGAUCGCAAGAUCAGCCGCAGUGAAUAGGCCCAGGCGACUGUUUAUCAAAAACACAGGUCUCUGCAAAAUCGUAAGAUGACGUAUAGGGGCUGACGCCUGCCCGGUGCUGGAAGGUUAAAAGGAUGGGUUAGCUUCGGCGAAGCUCAGAAUUGAAGCCCCAGUAAACGGCGGCCGUAACUAUAACGGUCCUAAGGUAGCGAAAUUCCUUGUCGGGUAAGUUCCGACCCGCACGAAAGGCGUAACGAUCUGGGCACUGUCUCAACGAGAGACUCGGUGAAAUUAUAUUGUCCGUGAAGAUGCGGACUACCCGCGACAGGACGGAAAGACCCCAUGGAGCUUUACUGUAGCUUGAUAUUGAGUGUUUGUACAGCUUGUACAGGAUAGGUAGGAGCCAUAGAAACCGGAACGCUAGUUUCGGUGGAGGCGUUGGUGGGAUACUACCCUCGCUGUAUGACCACUCUAACCCGCACCACUAAUCGUGGUGGGAGACAGUGUCAGGUGGGCAGUUUGACUGGGGCGGUCGCCUCCUAAAAAGUAACGGAGGCGCCCAAAGGUUCCCUCAGAAUGGUUGGAAAUCAUUCGCAGAGUGUAAAGGCACAAGGGAGCUUGACUGCGAGACAGACAGGUCGAGCAGGGACGAAAGUCGGGCUUAGUGAUCCGGUGGUACCGUAUGGAAGGGCCAUCGCUCAACGGAUAAAAGCUACCCUGGGGAUAACAGGCUUAUCUCCCCCAAGAGUCCACAUCGACGGGGAGGUUUGGCACCUCGAUGUCGGCUCAUCGCAUCCUGGGGCUGUAGUCGGUCCCAAGGGUUGGGCUGUUCGCCCAUUAAAAGCGGUACGCGAGCUGGGUUCAGAACGUCGUGAGACAGUUCGGUCCCUAUCCGUCGCGGGCGUAGGAAAUUUGAGAGGACCUGUCCUUAGUACGAGAGGACCGGGAUGGACAUACCUCUGGUGUACCAGUUGUGCCGCCAGGCGCAUCGCUGGGUAGCUACGUAUGGAUGUGAUAAACGCUGAAAGCAUCUAAGUGUGAAACACACCUCGAGAUGAGAUUUCCCAUUCCUUUAUGGAAGUAAGACCCCUGAAAGAUGAUCAGGUAGAUAGGUUAGAAGUGGCAGUGCGGUGACGCAUGAAGCGGACUAAUACUAAUCGGUCGAGGACUUAACCAA
rnacentral:rRNA from 1 species